rnacentral:tRNA from 1 species
GCCCGAAUAGCUUAAUGGCAGAGCGUUGUAAUUUAGUUAAUCAGAAUUCCAAAGGUGUCGGUCUGAAUCCGUCUUAGGGCA